rnacentral:rRNA from 1 species
GAUCCUGGCUCAGGAUGAACGCUAGCGACAGGCCUAACACAUGCAAGGUCGAGGGGCAGCGCGGGGUAGCAAUACUCUGGCGGCGACCGGCGCACGGGUGCGUAACAGGUGUGCAAUCUGUCCAUAGUCGGGGGAUAGCCCGGCGAAAGCCGAAUUAAUACUCCAUGUGUCACGAAGCCGCAUGACUUUGUGAUGAAACGUAAGGACUAUGGGUGAGCACGCUUCUGAUUAGGUAGUUGGUGAGGUAACGGCCCACCAAGCCGACGAUCAGUAGGGGUUCUGAGAGGAAGGUCCCCCACAUUGGAACUGAGACACGGUCCAAACUCCUACGGGAGGCAGCAGUGAGGAAUAUUGGUCAAUGGACGAGAGUCUGAACCAGCCAAGUCGCGUGAAAGGAUGAAGGUUCUAUGGAUUGUAAACUUCUUUUGUCCGAGGGUAAAGUGUGGGACGUGUCCCAUUUGGCAAGUAUCGGACGAAUAAGCAUCGGCUAACUCCGUGCCAGCAGCGGC